rnacentral:lncRNA from 1 species
ACUACUUUUGUAUUUUAUUAUUAACAGAUACAAAAAAUUGCAUGAUCCCUAAAGAGUGGAUCAAAAUCGAUGAAACUUCGGGAUCAAUCAUGCUUUCCAAAAUUCUGGGACAGAGAAGCUGCAGCUCCCCAUAUGACUUAUUUAUAUAAUAUCACAGUUCUGGCAAUAGACAAAGAUGGUAGAUCAUGCACUGGAACACUUGCAGUGAACAUUGAAGAUGUGAAUGACAACGCACCAGAAAUACUUCAAGAUAGCAUUGUCAUUUGCAAACAGAAGAUGGCGUACACUGACAUUUCAGCUGUUGACCGUGACGGACCUGUCUACGGAGCGCCCUUUCAUUUCAGCUUGGCAAACCCGUCCCCAGAAGUCAAUAAAAUAUGGACCCUCAGCAAAGUUAACGGUAUUCAAUAAAAAAGUGGUAUCCAUGCUCUGAAACAACAGAAAAACUAGAGAAUAGAUUUACUUGUUUACAUACACAAAAUAUAAUGCAAGAUUGAUUUGGGGACGUUAAUCUUUUAU